rnacentral:rRNA from 1 species
CGGGGGGCCGCCCGGGAGUGUCGCGUUCUGCGCGCUCGCCCGGGAGCCACGGCGCCCCGGUGGCCCAAAAAACUCUUGUUUUGUAUGGCCUAUCAGAAAUACUAUCUAAUAGUUAAAACUUUCAGCAACGGAUCUCUUGGUUCUGGCAUCGAUGAAGAACGCAGCGAAAUGCGAUAAGUAAUGUGAAUUGCAGAAUUCAGUGAAUCAUCGAAUCUUUGAACGCACAUUGCGCCCCCUGGUAUUCCGGGGGGCACGCCUGUCCGAGCGUCAUUUCAACCCUCCAGCUCCGCUGGGUGUUGGGGAUCUACGGAGACGUAGGCCCUGAAAAUCAGUGGCGGGCUCGCGCAUACCCGGACGUAGUAACACUGUCGUCUAGGGGCUGCCGCGGGUGCUGGCCGUGAAACACGACGCAAGUCAUUUUCGAAGGUUGACCUCGGAUCAGGCGGGAAUACCCGCUGAACUUAAGCAUAUCAAUAAGCGGAGGAAAAGAAACUAACAAGGAUUCCCCUAGUAACGGCGAGUGAAGCGGGAACAGCCCAAAUUUGAAAGCUGGCCGUAAGGUCCGCGUUGUAAUUUGGAGAGGAUGCUUCUGGUGAGGCCUUGACUGAGUCCCCUGGAACGGGGCGCCGCAGAGGGUGAGAGCCCCGUAGAGUCAGACGCCGAUCCUGUGUGAAGCUCCCUCGACGAGUCGAGUAGUUUGGGAAUGCUGCUCUAAAUGGGAGGUAAAUUCCUUCUAAGGCUAAAUACCGGCCAGAGACCGAUAGCGCACAAGUAGAGUGAUCGAAAGAUGAAAAGCACUUUGAAAAGAGGGUUAAAUAGCACGUGAAAUUGCUGAAAGGGAAGCGCACGUCGCCAGACUCGGCCUCGGUGGUAACCCGGCGUUCUCGCCGGUGGCUCCUCCGGGGUCGGGCCAGCACCGGUGGUUCGGGGGCAGGAAGCGCAGGAACGUAGCUCCCUCGGGAGUGUUAUAGCCUGCGUGGAGCGUCCCUGGGCCACCGAGGCCCGCG